GCCUGGGUAGCUCAUUGGGUUGAGUGUCUGACUUCGGCUCAGGUCAUGACCUCAUGGUUCGUGGGUUCAAGCCCCGCAUCGGGCU
rnacentral:tRNA from 1 species